AACGGCCGCGGUAUCCUAACCGUGCAAAGGUAGCAUAAUCACUUGUCCCCUAAAUAGGGACCAGAAUGAACGGCUAAAUGAGGACUAAACUGUCUCUUACAGAUUGGCCAAUGAAAUUGAUUUCCCAGUACAAAAGCUGGAAUAUACCCAUAAGACGAGAAGACCCUGUGGAGCUUCAAAACCAAACCACUUAGUAUGUCCCUUGGUUUUUUAGUUGGGGCGACUUCGGAAUACAACAAAACUUCCAAAAUAAAACUAACUCAUUAAGGUUAACACACCAAAAUCUCUACACAGACCCAGCAAUUAAUUUUGUCUGACCAAUGAACCAAGUUACCCCAGGGAUAACAGCGCAAUCUCCUUUUAGAGUCCAUAUCGACAAGGGGGUUUACGACCUCGAUGUUGGAUCAGGACACCCCA
rnacentral:rRNA from 1 species